rnacentral:rRNA from 1 species
UAGGGAAUCUUCCGCAAUGGACGAAAGUCUGACGGAGCAACGCCGCGUGAUUGAAGAAGGAUUUCGGUUCGUAAAACUCUGUUGUUAGGGAAGAAAAAAUGUAUAGUAACUAUAUACAAAAGAGACGGUACCUAACCAGAAAGCCACGGCUAACUACGUGCCAGCAGCCGCGGUAAUACGUAGGUGGCAAGCGUUGUCCGGAAUUAUUGGGCGUAAAGCGCGCGCAGGUGGUUUAGAAAGUCUGAUGUGAAAGCCCACGGCUCAACCGUGGAGGGUCAUUGGAAACUAAUAAACUUGAGUGCAGGAGAGAAAAGUGGAAUUCCUAGUGUAGCGGUGAAAUGCGUAGAGAUUAGGAGGAACACCGGUGGCGAAAGCGGCUUUUUGGCCUGCAACUGACACUGAGGCGCGAAAGCGUGGGGAGCAAACAGG